rnacentral:rRNA from 1 species
AAACUAACAAGGAUUCCCCUAGUAACUGCGAGUGAAGCGGGAAAAGCUCAAAUUUAAAAUCUGGCGGUCUUUGGCCGUCCGAGUUGUAGUCUGGAGAAGUGCUUUCCGCGCUGGACCGUGUAUAAGUCUCUUGGAACAGAGCGUCAUAGAGGGUGAGAAUCCCGUCUUUGACACGGACUACCAGUGCUUUGUGAUGCGCUCUCAAAGAGUCGAGUUGUUUGGGAAUGCAGCUCAAAAUGGGUGGUGAAUUCCAUCUAAAGCUAAAUAUUGGCGAGAGACCGAUAGCGAACAAGUACCGUGAGGGAAAGAUGAAAAGCACUUUGGAAAGAGAGUUAAACAGUACGUGAAAUUGCUGAAAGGGAAACGCUUGAAGUCAGUCGCGUCGUCCGGAACUCAGCCUUGCUUUUGCUUGGUGCACUUUCCGGUUGACGGGCCAGCAUCGAUUUUGACCGUCGGAAAAGGGCUAGAGUAAUGUGGCACCUCCGGGUGUGUUAUAGACUCUAGUCGCAUACGGCGGUUGGGAUCGAGGAACGCAGCGCGCCGCAAGGCAGGGGUUCGCCCACUUUCGCGCUUAGGAUGCUGGCAUAAUGGCUUUAAACGACC